GGGUGACUAGUGACAGAGUGAGAGAGAGGGUGACUAGUGACAGAGUGAGGAAGGGGGUGACACAGUGACAGAGUGAGGGAGGGGGUGACUGUCACUAGUCACACCCUUCCCUCCCUCACUCUGUCACUAGUCACCACCUCCCUCUGUCACUACUCCCUCCCUCCUUCUGUCACUAGUCACCCCCUCCCUCACUGUGUCACUAGUCACCCC